AGCGAACGCUGGCGGCAGGCUUAACACAUGCAAGUCGAGCGGACCUUUCGGGGUCAGCGGCGGACGGGUGAGUAACGCGUGGGAACGUGCCUUCCGGUUCGGAAUAACGCUGGGAAACUAAAGCUAAUACCGGAUACGCCCUUAUGGGGAAAGGUUUACUGCCGGAAGAUCGGCCCGCGUCUGAUUGGCUAGUUGGUGGGGGAACGGCCUACCAAGGCGACGAUCAGUAGCUGGUCUGAGAGGAUGAUCAGCCACACUGGGCCUGAGACACUGCACAGACUCCUACGGGAGGCAGCAGUGGGGAAUAUUGGACAACGGGCGCAAGCAUGAUCCAGCCAUGCCGCGUGAGUGAUGAAGGACUUAGGGUUGUAAAGAUCUUUUAUCCGGGACGAUAAUGACGGUACCGGAGGAAUAAGCCCCGGCUAACUUCGUG
rnacentral:rRNA from 1 species